rnacentral:lncRNA from 1 species
UUCCUUAUGUUUAAAUCAAUUGUAUUGUGGGAGACAACAAAUAAAUGGUUUUUUCCCAUUUACUUCUUUCCACAGUCUCCUGUCUCUGUAUGUACAGAGACUAGAAUCUUUCUGCAGUUUCUCUAGGGAUGAUAAGAGCAAGGCUUUUUUCCUCUACAAAUAUAUACGACUUUGCUGAAUUAAUAGAAACAUGGAAAAGGAGGACGAGCAGUAAAUGCAACUCACAGGACUGGUUUUGCUCUUUCUCUGUUUUCCUUGUGGAGAGAAAAUUCCUUCAAGAGGCCAAUAUCAAUGUAUCCUGCUGUUGCUUUCAGCUCCAUCAUCUCUACUCAAAGGUACAGAAGUGCAAAUCACAUCUGGAAUGUCCUCUAACAAUCUCAAGACUUUUUCAAAAGGAGACACAGAGAGGGAGACAUCCCAGAGAAUGA